rnacentral:tRNA from 2 species
CGGUGAUUAGCGCAGACUGGUAGCGCAUCUCGUUCGGGACGAGGGGGUCGUAGGUUCAAAUCCUAUAUCACCGACCA